AACGAACGCUGGCGGCAUGCCUAACACAUGCAAGUCGAACGAGACCUUCGGGUCUAGUGGCGCACGGGUGCGUAACGCGUGGGAAUCUGCCCUUGGGUUCGGAAUAACAGCGAGAAAUUGCUGCUAAUACCGGAUGAUGACGUAAGUCCAAAGAUUUAUCGCCCAAGGAUGAGCCCGCGUAGGAUUAGCUAGUUGGUGAGGUAAAGGCUCACCAAGGCGACGAUCCUUAGCUGGUCUGAGAGGAUGAUCAGCCACACUGGGACUGAGACACGGCCCAGACUCCUACGGGAGGCAGCAGUGGGGAAUAUUGCGCAAUGGGCGAAAGCCUGACGCAGCGACGCCGCGUGGGUGAUGAAGGCCUUCGGUCGUAAAGACCCUCGUCGCAGGGGAAGGAA
rnacentral:rRNA from 1 species